rnacentral:rRNA from 1 species
GACGAACGCUGGCGGCGUGCUCAUACAUGUCAGUCGUACGCUUUUUCUUUUCACCCGAGACUUGUCUCACCGAAAGAAAAAGAGUGGCGAACGGGUGAGUAACACGUGGGUAACCUGCCCUCAAGCGGGGGAUAACACUUGGAAACAGGUGCUAAUACCGCAUAAUACACAGAAGGAGCAUUUCUUUUGUUUGAAAGUCGCAAUUGCGACACUCGAGGAUGGACCCGCGGUGCAUUAGCUAGUUGGUGGGCGUAACGGCUCACCAAGGCCACGAUGCAUAGCCGACCUGAGAGUGGUGAUCGGCCACACUGGGACUGAGACACGGCCCAGACUCCUACGGGAGGCAGCAGUAGGGAAAUCUUCGGCAAUGGACGAAAGUCUGACCGAGACAACGCCGCGUGAGUGACGAAGGUUUACGGAUCGUAAAACUCUGUUGUUAGAGAAGAACAAGGGUGAGAGUGGAAAGUUCACCCCUUGCACGGUAUCUAACCAGAAAUGCCACUGGUAACUACGUGCCCAGACAGCCGCGGUACAUACGUAGGUGGCAAAGCGUUGUCCGGAUUUAUUGGGCGUAAAAGGCGAGACGC